AACUAAUCAAUUACUCAUUUACUCAUUAUUUUUUAUCGGGCAGGGCUUGGAAACGGUUCAUCAAUACUGUUCCGGGUGAAUGGAAACCGGAGCUUACAUUUAGAGAUUACCCUGUAAGUAGUACUAUAUAUAUAGCUAUGUCCGUGAAACUUUAUAUAUGAUAUUUACUUUCAAUACGAUGCUUGAUUAUUAGUUUGAUCGAACUAUUUUUUCGUAAAGUGUAUGAGGCAGGAAAAAGGGAAUAACUUAUGUGGAUACUACGUCUGCACCUUCAUGCGUGACAUGUCCUGUCCCAAGGGUGGGGAUGCCCAAAUACACCACACUCGUAUGACACGCCUGCGGGACACUCUCAUAACAGCGGAUCAAAUAAAAGCAAUUCAAGAGGAAAUCGCGGGAUUCUUUAUUACCGAGGUCCUUACCCCAGGUGGAGAGCACUAUCGGAAGAUCGUGACGUCGGACGAUAUUCGUUCAGGAAAAGUUGUAUUGUAAAUAUGCAUGCAUUACGUGUACUGUGUUGACUAUGUCGUGUACUGUUGACGAUGUCUAUAUAUAUUCAUGACGAUUUUUUGUGGUUU